rnacentral:rRNA from 1 species
UACGUAGGGGGCUAGCGUUGUCCGGAAUCAUUGGGCGUAAAGCGCGCGUAGGCGGCCAGAUAAGUCCGGUGUGAAAGCCACAGGCUCAACCUGUGAAUGCCGCUGGAAACUGUCUGGCUAGAGUCCGGAAGAGGAGAAUGGAAUUCCUGGUGUAGCGGUGAAAUGCGCAGAUAUCAGGAAGAACACCCGUGGCGAAGGCGGUUCUCUGGGACGGUACUGACGCUGAGACGCGAAAGCGUGGGGAGCGAACAGG